AAGCAUGGAGUGAGUUUGGAGUGGGACUAUUUGUUUCUCAGUGAAAUACAGAACAUUUGCAAAAGGACUUUGGAUGUCAUAGCUGAGUAAAUUGACAUUAAAGACCAUGGACCACAACAUUUCCUGCAUCCAACAGAAAUAGACAAAAUCUUCCAGAAGUACUUAAUGGAGGAACAAGUGCACUCAACUGUCUGUCUCUCACUCACACACACAUUUUGAGCUGGGAAACUGUGAGAAGUAAGGUCAAAAUGGCACACGCACCUGACAACACUCCAGCGUCUGUCAUCUCACCUCAACAGCAUCUCUUCUUCAUGUUGACACGCUUACCGCUCCAUUUUACUGCCAUGUAUUGUAAGCAUAACACCACACAAAUGAACAUAUAAAUGCUUUAAUAAACACACAUUGGAAAACAUUAUAAGUAA